rnacentral:lncRNA from 1 species
UUUAGUUAUUAGUUACUUUGGUUGUAAAAAUUGCAAUUUAGGUACAUAAUUUGUACAGUUCAGACAUUAUGUACAUGGUACAAUACUGGUUGUUUAUUUCCAUGAUCUUAAUUAUCGUUUUUAUGAUCUGUUCACAUGAAGGAUGAGUCCGAGUCUAUCAUAACUGAAGCUUAGUCCGUCAUGCGGUGAAGAAGGAAGAUGUUGGCUAGAAGAAUACCUUCCUUCAUUUGUAAUGAGAACGGUGAUGUACUUAUGUCUCUUGGCUGUAAGAAACUAAGACUGAGAAUUAUGUUGGGCUAUUCCUAUGUCAUUUUGUAAUAAACCAAGGCUGAGAGUUUAUGCUACUAUUCCUAUGCCAUUCUGUGACGAACUAAGGCUGGAAUUUUGUACUUAUACUUAUUUGAUGUUUAGCUAUGUCAUUCCAUGAGAAUCUGAGAGCUUAUUUCAUGUGGUGCACUUCUCCAAUGUCAUUUUGCGAGCAUUUGAAAAGUUAUUUAAUGUUGUGAAGCUAUGCAAUGCCAUCUUGCGAGAAUCUAACUUUAUGCGAAUGUUGUGCAAUGUUAUGUGAUCCUUCAAGAUAUUAUACAUAUGUGUGUUGAUAGGACCCGAUGGAUAUCCAUCGGUUAUGGAUAUCCAACGGGUUUGGACAUGGACACAAUUUUCUGCCCAUGGAUAUUUUCAUGGAUGGGCAAAGAACAUCCUCGUGGAUCCGGAUAUGGAUUUGAUAUUGUUCAACCCGGGCCGAACCCGAUCCAUUGCCAUCCUUACUUCUGUGAUAUGAUCUCCGUUAACAUAUCAUUCUUUCUAUCUAUGGGUAGACACUCCUUUGGGCCCAUGGAUGACUGGCACCACUGCUCAUAUUCUUUACGUAAGUUUCUCCAUGGUUGGGCUUACAAUAGGGCGGCUGAGGCACAGAGAGAAGGCGUAGUUGACAGAUCAGAUUAAAUCCCUUGACGGCGCGGCCGAUGGGCCUAGGCUUUCUAAACAGGAAUGGCAGAUGUGGUAUAACCUCGAAGAGGCCUUGAUGUCGGUGCAUCGCUAGGCUGAGAUCUACUGCGCCGAAGGGGCACCUUAAAUUGGACGCUCAAUGGCGAUUUCCCCAUGGCCUAUUUUUUCGCCAUUGCAAAUGGGAGGCGCAGGCACUGCACGAUUGACAGCCUGUUGAUCAAUAGUGUUAGAGUCAUGGAUAGGAUCAAAUCAUCUCUCACAUGGUUGAUUUCUUCUCUUCUCUCCUCUUGGCCAAACCUGAUUCGGGUUUCUCAAUCGCUUCUUCCCUUUGGGAUGCUCCUGGGAGGAUUACUAGUGAGGAGAACGAGGCUCCGUCACCCCCUUAUCCGAGGACGAAAUUCUUGAGAUUAUUCUCUCGGCCAACCCAAACUCGGUAUCGGGCCCUGAUGGCUUCUCCAUUCCCUUCUUUAGGAAAUUCUAGCCUCAACUGUGUAACCUCAUUUGUGUUAUUAUCCAAGGCUUCUAUUUGGGGACGGUUGAUAUUUCGAGGUUGAAUUACGCUGUCAUCACCGUCAUUCCUAAGGUCAAAGGAGCUGCCAUUAUCUCGCAAUUUAGACCUAUCGCUCUCAUUGACAACUUUGCGAAAUUCCCUUCCAAAGGAUUCGCUACUCGUCUAUCCCCCGUCGCUCAUCCGGUCCUUAGCCCUUACCAAUCUGCUUUUGUCAAAGGGAGGUUCAUCUUGGAUGGUAUCCUAUGUCUGCAUGAAAUCGUUCAUGAUCUUCGGGUGCGAGGCACCAAGGCUAUGAUCCAUAAGCUUGACUUUGAGAAGGUUUACGAUUCGGUCAGCUGGACUUUCAUGCAUCACGUCUUGCUGGCCAAGGGCUUUGAUGGGGCCUAUGUUCACAGGAUUAUGCAGAUGGUGAUGGGAGACCACACUACGGUCUCGGUUAAUGGCAGAGUUAGCAAUUUCUUCCCAAACAGUAGGGGCCUGAGACAAGGGGGUCCGGCUUCCCCUCUUCUUUUCAAUUUUGUCGUACACUACUACAGGAUGCUGCUAAGGUGACACUACGAUCAGAGACCCUUCGAUGAAACAGUGUGCGAUGCAAUAAUCACAAACGAUGGUGUAAAACCCUGUCAAAAAAGGACCAAAACAUUUGUUAUGAUGGGUGCAUCAAACACGGUUUAGAUUUUAGUUGCAUGUGCGAUAUAGGGCAUAUGGUUCAGUUUAAUUAACUAUUUGCGAUGAGGAGGAACAAAAGAAACAGGCAGCCAGAUGAAUGUGUGUGUGAUAUACAACAUACGGUUCACUCGGAUGAACUGUUUGUGAUGAGGAGGAACAACAGAAACGGCAACUAGAUAAAGUUGUGUGCGGUUGAGGGCAUACGCUUCAGAAGGAUUAACUUUUUGCAAUUAGGCAAUAGAACAGAAACGGCCAGCCAGAUCAAAGUGUCUGCGAUUGAUGGCAUAUGCUUCACACGGAUGAACUAUUUGCGAUUAGCCACAACAAAUAGAAACAGUUAGAUAGAUCAACGUGUGUGCUCUAGACGGGCACACAUUCUAAUGAAAAUAAGCGUGCGUGAUGGUAAUAACAAGCGUGCACGGUUGUUGGAACAAAACGUGUGAUGACAUUGCCUAUUAUGGUCCACCCUAUGGUGCAAACGCCACGUACACGACCGAGAAAGCGUGCCCACAUUACGCCUUCCGGGAAUAGUGCCGCACUUAGAACCCUCAAUAAAUUUUGAGCAUGCAUCCCGUCACAUUCCAAAUUACUACCACGCUAUAUUUAAUUGCAAACCUGUUCACACAGAUCAAAACCUAAACAGUUUCCCACUUAGGAGCAUACUAGUACUUGGUUAUAAAUACUACUACUCCAAGAUGACUGCACAUCCCUCCUCAACUCCUCAUCCACAAAAACAAAAAAAA